AUAGAGUUGAAGAAAAACAAUUAGUAGCCAAUAGCUUGUAGAUGAUAUUUAAAGGCAUGGGACAGAAUGAGCUCAUCUGAGGAAAGAAGACAGUUACAGAACAGGGCCAAGGGCCAAGCUGUGGCCUUAAGCCAAUAUCUUGAGGUCAGGAAAAGAAGAAAUUCAACGUAAGGAAUGACAGUGAGCUAGGAAAAGCAGAAAGGAUGUGACCAACUGUGUCAAAUGCUGCUGAGACGUAAAACAUGAUGAAGUCCAAGAAUUGACUGGAGGGUCUGGUAGGACAGAGGUCAUUGCUGCUGAUCUAAAUGAAAGCUGUUUUGUAGCAAUGCUGGAGAUGCAAGCUUCAGUAAAGUGAGCUGAAGGACAUAAACAUAAACAUAAGCAAGAAGAAAGAAGAAGUGUAGACAAUUGUUUCCAGGAGAUGGCCGAUACUAGGCAUGCAUGUGCAUACAGAAAAGAGAGUAACCCAAUAGUGAGGAAGAAAUUGAUGCUGCAGGAGAGAGGGAAUAAUUGCCGAAGCAAAGAUCUUGAGGUACUGAGAAAGGAUGACCCUAAUUUCCUUAAUGCUGCAGCCUGCUUCCACUGAGGGACUGGAGGCUCCUUGAGCAAAAUUAUCUACCUCUUCACCUUUGGAUCUUUCACAGUUCCCAGUUCGGUGUACUACAGAUUGUACUUGCUAAAUAAAAAAUCAUUGUCAUGGUUUACCUAAAUGCCUGAAGUGUUAAUAAUAAAAAAAAAACCCUUUAUUCCCUCCCAUACACUUUAUAAAUCUACAGGAUUAGAGAAACAGAAUCAUCUAGACAUUUCUGGUGGUAAUGGAAAAUUGUUCAACCACUCUGGAAAAUUGUUUGGCAUUUUCCUAUAAAACUAAACAUGAAAUUACCAUAUGACCCAGAAAUUGCAC
rnacentral:lncRNA from 1 species